rnacentral:rRNA from 1 species
CCCUUAGAUGUUCUGGGCCGCACGCGCGCUACACUGAUGCAUUCAACGAGUUUCUUCCUGGUCCGAGAGGAAUGGGUAACCUUUUGAAAGUGCAUCGUGAUAGGGAUAGACUAUUGCAAUUAUUGGUCUUCAACGAGGCAUUCCUAGUAGACGUAGUUCAUCAGACUGCAUCGAUUACGUCCCUGCCCUUUGUACACACCGCCCGUCGCUCCUACCGAUUGAAUGCUCAGGUGAGCCAUUCGGACUUUCAUCAUGCUGGUUUCCAGUUUUGAUGAAGGAAAGUCUUGCGAACCUUAUCAUUUAGAGGAAGGAGAAGUCGUAACA